rnacentral:rRNA from 1 species
UACGUAGGGGGCAAGCGUUGUCCGGAAUCAUUGGGCGUAAAGCGCGCGUAGGCGGCCCGGUAAGUCCGCUGUGAAAGUCAAAGGCUCAACCUUUGAAUGCCGGUGGAUACUGUCGGGCUAGAGUCCGGAAGAGGCGAGUGGAAUUCCUGGUGUAGCGGUGGAAUGCGCAGAUAUCAGGAGGAACACCGGUGGCGAAGGCGGGUCGCUGGGCAGUAACUGACGCUGAGGAGCGAAAGCGUGGGGAGCGAACAGG